CCCUUAGAUGUCCUGGGCCGCACGCGCGUUACACUGAUGCAUUCAACGAGCUUAUAACCUUGGCCGAGAGGCCUGGGCAAUCUUGUUAACGUGCAUCGUGAUAGGGAUAGAUUAUUGAAAUUAUUAAUCUUGAACGAGGAAUUCCUAGUAAACGCAGAUCAUCAAUCUGCAUUGAUUACGUCCCUGCCCUUUGUACACACCGCCCGUCGCACCUACCGAUUGAAUGGUUUAGUGAGAUCUUCGGAUUGGCGCCACUGCGGCUCAGCAAUGGGCUCGGUGGAUGCCGAAAAGUUGAUCAAACUUGAUCAUUUAGAGGAAGUAAAAGUCGUAACA
rnacentral:rRNA from 1 species